GAACGCGAAGAACCUUACCAGGUCUUGACAUCCCUCUGACCGCUCUAGGGAUAGAGUUUUCCCUCGGGACAGAGGUGACAGGUGGUGCAUGGUUGUCGUCAGCUCGUGUCGUGAGAUGUUGGGUUAAGUCCCGCAACGAGCGCAACCCCUAUUGUUAGUUGCCAUCAUUGAGUUGGGCACUCUAGCGAGACUGCCGGUAAUAAACCGGAGGAAGGUGGGGAUGACGUCAAAUCAUCAUGCCCCUUAUGACCUGGGCUACACACGUGCUACAAUGGCUGGUACAACGAGUCGCGAGUCGGUGACGGCAAGCUAAUCUCUUAAAGCCAGUCUCAGUUCGGAUUGUAGGCUGCAACUCGCCUACAUGAAGUCGGAAUCGCUAGUAAUCGCGGAUCAGCACGCCGCGGUGAAUACGUUCCCGGGUCUUGUACACACC
rnacentral:rRNA from 1 species